AGAGUUUGAUCCUGGCUCAGAGUGAACGCUGGCGGCAGGCCUAACACAUGCAAGUCGAGCGGCAGCGCGGGGCAACCUGGCGGCGAGCGGCGGACGGGUGAGGAAUGCAUCGGAAUCUACCCUGUCGUGGGGGAUAACGUAGGGAAACUUACGCUAAUACCGCAUACGACCGAGAGGUGGAAGUGGGGGACCGCAAGGCCUCACGCGAUUGGAUGAGCCGAUGCCGGAUUAGCUAGUUGGUGGGGUAAAGGCCCACCAAGGCGACGAUCCGUAGCUGGUCUGAGAGGAUGAUCAGCCACAUUGGGACUGAGACACGGCCCAAACUCCUACGGGAGGCAGCAGUGGGGAAUAUUGGACAAUGGGCGCAAGCCUGAUCCAGCCAUGCCGCGUGUGUGAAGAAGGCCUUCGGGUUGUAAAGCACUUUUGUUCGGGAAGAAAUCGUGCGGAUUAAUACUUCGUACGGAUGACGGUACCGAAAGAAUAAGCACCGGCUAACUUCGUGCCAGCAGCCGCGGUAAUACGAAGGGUGCAAGCGUUACUCGGAAUCACUGGGCGUAAAGCGUGCGUAGGCGGUUCGUUAAGUCUGCUGUGAAAGCCCUGGGCUCAACCUGGGAACUGCAGUGGAUACUGGCGGACUAGAGUGUGAUAGAGGAUGGUGGAAUUCCCGGUGUAGCGGUGAAAUGCGUAGAGAUCGGGAGGAACACCAGUGGCGAAGGCGGCCAUCUGGAUCAACACUGACGCUGAGGCACGAAAGCGUGGGGAGCAAACAGGAUUAGAUACCCUGGUAGUCCACGCCCUAAACGAUGCGAACUGGACGUUGGUUGCAACUUGGCAAUCAGUGUCGAAGCUAACGCGUUAAGUUCGCCGCCUGGGGAGUACGGUCGCAAGACUGAAACUCAAAGGAAUUGACGGGGGCCCGCACAAGCGGUGGAGUAUGUGGUUUAAUUCGAUGCAACGCGAAGAACCUUACCUGGCCUUGACAUCCAGUGAACUUUCCAGAGAUGGAUUGGUGCCUUCGGGAACACUGAGACAGGUGCUGCAUGGCUGUCGUCAGCUCGUGUCGUGAGAUGUUGGGUUAAGUCCCGCAACGAGCGCAACCCUUGUCCUUAGUUGCCAGCACGUAAUGGUGGGAACUCUAAGGAGACUGCCGGUGACAAACCGGAGGAAGGUGGGGAUGACGUCAAGUCAUCAUGGCCCUUACGGCCAGGGCUACACACGUACUACAAUGGUCGGUACAGAGGGUUGCAAUGCCGCGAGGUGGAGCCAAUCCCAGAAAACCGAUCCCAGUCCGGAUCGGAGUCUGCAACUCGACUCCGUGAAGUCGGAAUCGCUAGUAAUCGCGGAUCAGCUAUGCCGCGGUGAAUACGUUCCCGGGCCUUGUACACACCGCCCGUCACACCAUGGGAGUUGGUUGCUCCAGAAGUAGGUAGUCUAACCGCAAGGAGGACGCUUACCACGGAGUAGUCAAUGACUGGGGUGAAGUCGUAACAAGGUA
rnacentral:rRNA from 1 species